AUUGAACGCUGGCGGCAUGCUUUGCACAUGCAAGUCGAACGGUAACGCGGGGGCAACCCUGGCGACGAGUGGCGAACGGGUGAGUAAUACAUCGGAACAUGUCCUGAAGUGGGGGAUAGCCCGGCGAAAGCCGGAUUAAUACCGCUUACGCCCUGAGGAGGAAAGCGGGGGACGGAAAGGCCUCGCGCUAUUGGAGUGGCCGAUGUCGGAUUGGCUAGUUGGCGGGGUAAGGGCCCACCAAGGCGACGAUCCGUAGCUGGUCUGAGAGGAUGAUCAGCCACACUGGGACUGAGACACGGCCCAGACUCCUACGGGAGGCAGCAGUGGGGAAUUUUGGACAAUGGGGGCAACCCUGAUCCAGCCAUGCCGCGUGAGUGAAGAAGGCCUUCGGGUUGUAAAGCUCUUUCGGACGGAACGAAAUGGUUACGGUGAACAUCCGUGACUGGUGACGGUACUGUAAGAAGAAGCACCGGCUAACUACGUGCCAGCAGCCGCGGUAA
rnacentral:rRNA from 1 species